rnacentral:tRNA from 1 species
GGAAGGGUCGCAUAGAGGCCGAGUGCGCCCGUCUCGAAAACGGGUAGGGUGAAAGCCCUCGUGGGUUCGAAUCCCACCCCUUCCG